GGGAGUAAUGUCUGGGAAACCGCCGAGUGGAGGGGGGUAACUACUGGAAACGGUAGCUAAUACCGCAUAACGUCGCAAGACCAAAGAGGGGGACCUUCGGGCCUCUUGCCAUCGGAUGUGCCCAGAUGGGAUUAGCUAGUAGGUGGGGUAAUGGCUCACCUAGGCGACGAUCCCUAGCUGGUCUGAGAGGAUGACCAGCCACACUGGAACUGAGACACGGUCCAG
rnacentral:rRNA from 1 species